rfam:Magnaporthe oryzae 70-15 chromosome 4, whole genome shotgun sequence.
ACAUACGACCAUACCCACUGGAAUAUACGGGAUCCCGUCCGCUCUCCCAUAGUCAAACCAGUGAGGGCCGAACUAGUACUCAGGUGGGUGACCACUGGGGAAUCCUCGGUGUUAUAUGUU